UUCUAAUCUCUAAUUUUUAAACAACAAACCCUACCCCUCCCUUGGAGUGCGACGGCAGGAGAAACCCCACCCUCCUCCUUCUCGCAUCCAAUGGCAGCAACCCCAUUCGAAGUAAGCUUGGUACAGUCUACUCACACCUUUCAAAGAUUUGGUUGACCAACUUGGACGGAUAACAAAGUAAUAAAACAUACCGAGCAAAUCUAAGGUCCUUAGGUACUUUGAAAGCAGGAACUUGCUGGCUGGAGGGCGCGAGUGGUCAUGGUUGCUCGAGGGAUAUAUUAUCAGACUUUUAUUUACUAUGUUUGUUUGGAUAACGCUUAUAUUACGCUACAUUAACGCUUCCGCUAAACGUAUGGUUUUGAAUAACGUAUGUUGGGAUUUUAGUAUCUUUAAAUAACGAAGUUUUAUUUCAA
rnacentral:lncRNA from 1 species